UACGUAGGCGGCAAGCGUUGUUCGGAGUUACUGGGCGUAAAGGGUGCGUAGGCGGUCCUAUAAGUAUGGUGUGAAAUCUCCCGGUUUAACUGGGAGGGUGCGCUAUAGACUGUGGGACUAGAGUGUGGGAGAGGAAAGUGGAAUUCCUGGUGUAGCGGUGAAAUGCGUAGAUAUCAGGAGGAACACCGGUGGUGUAAACGGCUUUCUGGACCAUAACUGACGCUGAGGCACGAAAGCGUGGGUAGCAAACAGG
rnacentral:rRNA from 1 species